UACAGAGGUCUCAAGCGUUGUUCGGAUUCAUUGGGCGUAAAGGGGUGCGUAGGUGGCGCCGUAAGUCGGGUGUGAAAUUUCGGAGCUUAACUCCGAAACUGCAUUCGAUACUGCGGUGCUUGAGGACUGGAGAGGAGACUGGAAUUCAUGGUGUAGCAGUGAAAUGCGUAGAGAUCAUGAGGAAGACCAGUGGCGAAGGCGGGUCUCUGGACAGUUCCUGACGCUGAGGAGCGAAAGUGUGGGGGAGCGAACAGG
rnacentral:rRNA from 1 species